rnacentral:rRNA from 1 species
CCCUUAGAUGUCCGGGGCUGCACGCGCGCUACACUGAAGGAAUCAGCGUGCUAAAACCAUUGUCGAAAGGCAUUGGUAAACCCAUUAAAAUCCUACGUGAUUGGGAUCGGGAAUUGCAAUUAUUUCCCUUGAACGAGGAAUUCCCAGUAAGUGUGGGUCAUAAGCUCGCGUUGAUUACGUCCCUGCCCUUUGUACACACCGCCCGUCGCUGCCCGGGACUGAGCCGUUUCGAGAAAAGCGGGGACUGCUGCUGUCGGGGCUUUCGGGCCUUGGCUUCGGUGGAAACCUCUUUAAUCGCAGUGGCUUGAACCGGGCAAAAGUCGUAACA